GAUGAACGCUGGCGGCGUGCCUAAUACAUGCAAGUCGAGCGAACAGACGAGGAGCUUGCUCCUCUGACGUUAGCGGCGGACGGGUGAGUAACACGUGGAUAACCUACCUAUAAGACUGGGAUAACUUCGGGAAACCGGAGCUAAAACCGGAUAAUAUAUUGAACCGCAUGGUUCAAUAGUGAAAGACGGUUUUGCUGUCACUUAUAGAUGGAUCCGCGCCGCAUUAGCUAGUUGGUAAGGUAACGGCUUACCAAGGCAACGAUGCGUAGCCGACCUGAGAGGGUGAUCGGCCAAACUGGAACUGAGACACGGUCCAGACUCCUACGGAGGCAGCAGUAGGGAAUCUUCCGCAAUGGGCGAAAGCUUGACGGAGCAACGCCGCGUGAGUGAUGAAGGUCUUCGGAUCGUAAAACUCUGUUAUUAGGGAAGAACAAAUGUGUAAGUAACUAUGCACGUCUUGACGGUACCUAAUCAGAAAGCCACGGCUAACUACGUG
rnacentral:rRNA from 1 species